CGGCCAAGCUGAUGAAGAAUUAGAGCCUAAAGGGAGAAAAAGGAAGUAGUAUUAAAAACAACCGCAAUCACAUCCUAAUAUGAAAAAGAACAGAAUAACUGUAUUGAAUACGACUGUUAAACAAGAACUUCUACCCUUGAUGAACAGCAGAGUGCCUCUAGGGGGAAUGCAAUGAGCAUGGAGAGGCCCUUUAUUUCAAGUGAAUUCAAAUGGAAAAGAAAGACAUUUGUGGUGAAAAGAAGGACUAGGGUGACAUGAUAACAGUGUUCCAAAAUUUGAG